rnacentral:rRNA from 2 species
UACGAAGGGGGCUAGCGUUGCUCGGAAUUACUGGGCGUAAAGGGAGCGUAGGCGGACAGUUAAGUCAGAGGUGAAAGCCCAGGGCUCAACCCUGGAAUUGCCUUUGAUACUGAUUGUCUUGAGUAUGGGAGAGGUAUGCGGAACUCCGAGUGUAGAGGUGAAAUUCGUAGAUAUUCGGAAGAACACCAGUGGCGAAGGCGGCAUACUGGCCCAUUACUGACGCUGAGGCUCGAAAGCGUGGGGAGCAAACAGG